GACGAACGCUGGCGGCGUGCCUAAUACAUGCAAGUUGAGCGCUGAAGGUUGGUACUUGUACCGACUGGAUGAGCAGCGAACGGGUGAGUAACGCGUGGGGAAUCUGCCUUUGAGCGGGGGACAACAUUUGGAAACGAAUGCUAAUACCGCAUAAAAACUUUAAACACAAGUUUUAAGUUUGAAAGAUGCAAUUGCAUCACUCAAAGAUGAUCCCGCGUUGUAUUAGCUAGUUGGUGAGGUAAAGGCUCACCAAGGCGAUGAUACAUAGCCGACCUGAGAGGGUGAUCGGCCACAUUGGGACUGAGACACGGCCCAAACUCCUACGGGAGGCAGCAGUAGGGAAUCUUCGGCAAUGGACGAAAGUCUGAACGAGCAACGCCGCGUGAGUGAAGAAGGUUUUCGGAUCGUAAAACUCUGUUGGUAGAGAAGAACGUUGGUGAGAGUGGAAAGCUCAUCAAGUGACGGUAACUACCCAGAAAGGGACGGCUAACUACGUG
rnacentral:rRNA from 1 species